rnacentral:lncRNA from 1 species
UCCAUAUGUCUGUUCAUCUGUUUCUCUUAAAGUUCCCAUCAGCUGCGAUGCAUUUAAGAGGUGCCUGAUGCACAUUCCCCACACCUCUGAGUGCCUUGGGAACAUUAACGCAUUCUUCAAAGAGAACGGCAUCUCUGCCCCUAAAGUACCCUCUAUGCCUAAAGUACCCACACAACUCUCUGACGUCACAAAGUACUUACCCUCCCUACCACCAGAACUACGCCAAGAAUUCUCCCAGAUUCGACUCACGCAGGUCCCCCGUAAUAUAGUCCAGACGCUCAGUGAGUUUUUGCCUAAAACCUCAGUGGAUUCAUUUGCCCCGAGUUUUUCCGGCUUUUCGCAGAGUUUUUCAAACAUCCCACAGAAGAUCUCCCAAAUUCCAAGCCGGUCCCAGGAGUACUUCCUUAACAUACGAAACCGCCUCAACAGCCUUAUGCCUCAGGAUGCCUAAGAAACAACAGCAACAACAACAGCAAAAACAGAAGCUAGACAAGAAUCGGCAAGAAGUGGAACUCAGCCAAUUUGUGAUACAUUCCCCUCCUCCGCUUCAUCGUCGUCAGCUGUUAUCUCGCUCUCCCUCUCCAUCAGCCCUCAAUGGUAGUUCUCUGGAACUGCCCAAUGUGCCAUCCUAUCCUCAUCUGCCGCCUAUUGUCAGCCCGCCAUCAAAGCACUCCAGCUCCUUGUCCCGGAAGCUUUCUGGCUUCUCUAACCCAGCGUUCUUCAUUGAGGAUGACUCAGACAUUACAGGAAGAAGACAAGCAGCGAGCUCCCGCCUCAGCCUUCGGCCAGCUGUUAACGUUGAAGAUGUCGACUCAGAUCAAGAAAGAAGAGGAGAAAGAGAAGAUGGAGGAUCAGGAGGAGAAACAGAAGACCAGAAUAAUUUCCCUCAACUCUUCACAAAACAGGACAACAAACUUGCAACCCUCACUGUCCCUGUAACCCCGUCAGGUAGCCGUCAGAGGUAACCAAUUGCAGGAUUAGCAUCACUACACACAGUUACAGAAUUCCACUAGACAACAAAUAUGCAGAAAAUGACUCCAAAAACACACAAAGUAACAACCAAAAAAAGACAGAGAGAGAAAUUUACAAAAUGUCAACAACUAUGCACAACACAACAAAUCUGCACAAAAUAACGCUAAAAAUGACCACAAAAAGACAUACAAACACACUGUUCUUUCCCGUGUUUCUAAAUUCUGACAUAAAUGUUGAUAAUGUAAACCUCGGUUCAGACAUUUAAUUUUUUUUGGCCCCUGCUUUGAUAAAGGUUUCUCACCUAAAGUGAUUGAUGAUAAGAAGGAUCUGAAAAAUAAAACCAAAGCUAUUAAUUCA